UGAACUUGCACAUUUGUAGGCUUGUGCACAGAAAUGCAAUCAAAUUUAAUCCUUGGCCAGUUAAGAGAAAGGGGUUCACCAGAUGUUGUGAGGCCCAGCAAGUGUUGACAGUGGCAGCUAAUUUACUAAAGAUACGAUCUAAGGAGGUUACAAGCACUCAUUAUUUAUUUAGCUAGCCACUUUUCUUGAAUUAUCAGGUAUCCCAGACCCAGUGUCAACCUGCAAUAUGAAAGCCAAAAUACCAGCUGGGGGAAGAGUAUUUCUUAACGUGAGACAUUUGAGGGUUGUCGGUCCCAUUCCUUCCAUAUGUUGAAUUAAGAUAACCCUGCGUGGGCUGGGACAGGUUCUUCUUUCCCAGCCCUUUGUGCUGGGUGGGCGUGAGGCUGGGCAUUUGUAGGACGCGUGCAGCUGUACUCACGUGGAGGUUUUGAUGUACCUAGGCAAUGCCCUUGUUGUCAAAGCAUGUUUGCAUCGGUCAUUGAACUGCGGUACCGUGUGAGAUACAGACACAGACCAGGUGCCCAUUGUGCAUAUGCAGAAUGGUCCCUGGCACAAGGACUGGUGUCCUGUGAUAAGAGGGGAGGCAAUCCAUGGGCAUGGGCAGGUGCUGCGGGCACGGCACGGACAGGUGCCCCUGAGUGAUAGGAUGGAGUGAGCGUGGGCCGUUGCUGAGAUCAGAUUACAUGGAGAAAGGUAGAAAACAAAGGGAAAAACUUCAGAGAGAUAUCAGAGGGAGUUUUUUUCAUUGACUCCAGGAGCAACAAAUAGGAAGACACAAAUUCUCUCCUAAAUAAAUAUAAAUAAAAUAAACACGUGAUCUUUUUGUAGAAAUACCCCUGUGAAUGUAAAAGUGCUUUGAAAGUAUGAAAUCCCUUUUGCUGAUAAUGAUGUAAGGUAGGAAAAGACGGUGAUACAGGAGAGGAAAAUUAACUUCCAUUCUUCAACCAGAGCUGUAUAUUUUUGUCACUUAAAAAAAAACUUUGCCAACAUUUGAGCUAAGCCUGCAGUUCCUUAGGAAGUAAUUAGGGCCAGUUUUGUGUCCAAGACCACCUGCAAAGCAGCUGAUAUUGAAGAUGAAGGGCAGUUUAAGGCAUCGUUCUUUCCAUAUUAAAGGGUAAUUUUUUCAAAAAAUAUGUUUGUCUGAAUUGGAAUAAAUAAUGGAAUGUUUAAAAUUUAAAAAGGUUUCAAAAGAAGGUUCAGAUUGGAAAAGAAAGCUGACAUCUGCAUGAAAAUUAGAUUGCAAAGAUCGUUUUUUUUAAGUUUAAAAUAAGUUUUUAAAAACAGUGUGGAAUUGUAAUGAAGUAUCCAUUUUAAGUGAAAAUGCAUUUUUGUGCGUGUGUGUGAGUGAUGUAGUUGACUUUGUUUUGUCAUGUCUUCUUUAGAGAAAUGUUGACUAAAUGUUUCAGUCAUUUUCAUACUUGUUACCAGUCAUUCUUUUGCUUAAUGGUCUGUUGCUUAUGGCCUGUUGCUGCCAUGUUAAUCUGGCUGUUCCAGAUUUCUGUCAGUCCUGUUUGCCCUAAGUCCUGACCAGCUGCAGUUUGCAGUUCUCUAGAUGCCAUUUCCAUGUUGAUGCUUGUAUUUCCUUACCCUGGUUCCUAGGGCAGGAUGCUCAGUAGCAUCCCAGCCGAGAUUCAGAGAGAAACACAGCCAGCAAGUUUGCCCUAGGAUCUCCAGGUUGCCAGGCAGAGACAACUGCCCUGUGCUGGGUUCACCCCUUCGUUGUAGGCUUCAUUUCUAUGGUAGGUUGCAGGUGGUUGUAAAGCACUAGGUAAGGCAUGAUCUGCACACAGUAGAGACAAAUCUAUUUGAUGGAUGGAGGAAGGGGAAAGGGAAAGCCAACUUGUCCAGGUAUAACCUCUCCUUUUCUCUACAACUGGUGGAAAUGCAAUGGCAACUCAUUAGAGAACCAAAGCAAGAGCCUUCUUUCCAUUUGCUCUUCAAACCAUAAUUACUCCUCUGCAGAGCUCUGCUUCUCUGUCCUCCUCUCGUUAUCAUGUACCUGACUCAGCUGUCACUGGUGUCCAGACCAAGACCUGAAUCAUGCAACCAGAGCACCCUUGUGCCUUAAGUACCCUCUUGUCUUUCCACCAAAGAUUCAGAGCCUACUUUAUGAGGAUUUGAGCUCAUUUUCAGGUCACUAGCCAAUUGCUGAUGGUAAACUGUCACGACCCCUAGUCUGUCUUUCCUUGGUGAACUUUGUUUUGUCUUUUCUGUGACACGCUUUCUUGAAGAGAAGAGAGUAUCAUACUAACAGUUCUUUUUACAGUUUCUGUCUAAAUUCAAUAAUUGAAAUUAGAAUUAUAUCUAAUACUUAUUUUUUUCUAUCCAAAUUAAAAAAGAAAAAUAAAUAAUGUUUUCAUCUUUGGUGGAAAAGCAUAAUUUAUGGCCAUUUUCCUGAUGGAGCAUUAUUUUCCUUUAAUUUCCAUUGUUGGAUCUGACAAAAUGCACAGCAGUCUAAUAUAAUUUUCAUAUCAAUAAAUCUGACAGCUUUUUUUCCCCUUAAUGUCAAAAUGCAGCUGAACUAAGAUAAUGAUAACUGUGUAGUAUAAUUGCUUUGGUAAAAAGUAUUCAUGAGUCAAUCCGCAUUAAAAAUUAUUGCCAAGGCUCUUUUCAUCAGGGAAAAUUACUUUUAAAAUAAUUUAUACC
ensembl:lncRNA